GGCAAGAUGGCCGAGCGGUCCAAGGCGUGUGACUCAAGCGAAAGCUUGCCUGCAGUGCAGGUUUCUCAUCUGGGUAUCCAGGCGCGAGUUCGAAUCUCGCUCUUGUCA
rnacentral:tRNA from 1 species